AAGGAGGUCAAUAAUAUUGCAAAGAUUAGCAGUAAUACCGGUGACAAUAAUAUUGCCGGUGAGGAGAUCAAAGAGUCCUGCAAAGCAAGAUCAGAUAAAUCUUGUUCUCCUCCACAUGAGAAGUAUGACUCGAUCGAGUCCGAUGUGGAAAUUGUUGAGCGCUAUGAUGAAUCAAAGUUAGAGGAAACAUGUGUCCUGGUUGAAGCGGAGAAACUUCAUGUUCCACAAGGAUCAGUCAAACGAAAAUCAUACAAGAAGAAGCUCAGGCAAGUGUUUUCUACUAAAAAGAAGUCGACGAGAACAGAGUAUGAGCAGCUUGGAGCAUUCCGUGGAGAGCAACAGCCUAACCUAGAGCCUGAAGAAAAGCAGAUGCAGGUUCUCUCCAAAAACUCGAACCCGAAAAAAUUGUCAUCAGCUGAUGAUCAUUCUGAAUCUGAGUGGGAACUUCUCUAGAUAUGACGCAUUACAAUAACAUAACUAAUGUAAUUUCACCCGUGGAGUCUGAGCUAAGCUAUGAUGCUAUUAAAAUUGUAAUGUUGCUUUUGCCAAUCAAUAGAUGGCUUUGUACAUAAAACUAAAAUUGAAAGAAGAAGCACCUGCUGUUUUAUAAUAAGCCAGU
rnacentral:misc_RNA from 1 species